GUGUCAAGCAAAGAAUGGAGAAGGUCCAAAGGAGAAAUUUAGAGAAAAUGUUGCUAGCAUUCCCCAGUGCUAGCAGCCUUCUCUCUAACCUUCUCCUUUGGACCUUCUCUUUUCUUCUCAUGACUU
rnacentral:miRNA from 1 species